UACGUAGGGUGCAAGCGUUAAUCGGAAUUACUGGGCGUAAAGCGUGCGCAGGCGGUUCGCCAAGUCAGGUGUGAAAUCCCCGGGCUUAACCUGGGAAUUGCGCUUGAAACUAGCGGGCUUGAGUGUGGCAGAGGGGGGUGGGAAUUCCACGGUGUAGCAGUGAAAUGCGUAGAGAUGUGGAGGAACACCGAUGGCGAAGGCAGCCCCCUGGGUCAACACUGACGCUCAUGCACGAAAGCGUGGGGAGCAAACAGG
rnacentral:rRNA from 1 species